rnacentral:misc_RNA from 1 species
UCUCCGUAGGUGAACCAGCGGAAGGAUCAUUACCGUGCAAAAUGUGCGGGUAAUGCGAGGGCUGUCGCUGACUCAAAAGUCGUGCACGCCCGAGUGUGUCCUCUUGCAUAAUACUCCAUCCCACCCUUGGGGCAUCACCGCGUGGGCACCCUCCGCGUUCAUCGCGGAGGCGGGCUCGCGUUCUCACACAAUCCACCCUUUUAUAAGUGUAGCAUGACCACAUUUAUGAAAUCAAUAAAACUUUCAACAACGGAUCUCUUGGUUCUG